rnacentral:rRNA from 1 species
UGGGGAAUUUUGGACAAUGGGGGCAACCCUGAUCCAGCAAUGCCGCGUGUGUGAAGAAGGCCUUCGGGUUGUAAAGCGCUUUUGUCUGGAAAGAAAUCGUCCUGGCUAAUAUCCGGGAUGGAUGACGGUACUGGAAGAAUAAGCACCGGCUAACUACGUGCCAGCAGCCGCGGUAAUACGUAGGGUGCGAGCGUUAAAUCGGAAUUACUGGGCGUAAAGCGUGCGCAGGCGGUUGUGCAAGACAGAUGUGAAAAUCCCCGGGCUUAAACCUGGGGGACUGCAUUUGUGACUGCACGGCUAGAGUGUGUCAGAGGGGGGUAGAAUUCCACGUGUAGCAGUGAAAAUGCGUAGAUAUGUGGAGGAACACCGAUGGCGAAGGCAGCCCCCUGGGAUAACACUGACGCUCAUGCACGAAAAGCGUGGGGGAGCAAAACAGGAUUAGAUACCC